GUCCUUUAGAAUUUAAUUUAAGGUCUAACCUGCCCACUGAAAUUAUUUGAAGGGCCGCAGUAAUUUGACUGUGCAAAGGUAGCAUAAUCAUUAGUUUUUUAAUUAAAAGCUUGUAUGAAGGGUUGGACGAGGUAAAUUCUGUCUCUAUUUAAAUUAAUAUAGAAUUUAAUUUUUAAGUUAAAAAGCUUAAAUUUUUUUAAAAGACGAGAAGACCCUAUAGAUCUUUAUAUUAAAAAUAUUAAUUUUAAUUAAGAAUAUUUUAUUUUUUAAUAUUAAUAAUAUUUUAUUGGGGUAAUAGAAAGAUUAAAUUAAUUCUUUUUUUAUUUUUACAUUAAUUAAUGGUUAAAUGAUCCAAUUUUAUUGAUUAAAAGAUUAAGUUACCUUAGGGAUAACAGCGUAAUUUUUUUAGAGAGUUCAUAUCGAUAAAAAAGUUUGCGACCUCGAUGUUGGAUUAAAAAUUAUCUUAGGUGUAGAAGUUUAAGAUUUUGGUCUGUUCGACCAUUAAAUUUUU
rnacentral:rRNA from 1 species